AGCUGAACCUUCAUGAGUGCUGAAUGAUCCAAGCCUUACACCAGGAGUAGAGGGAUUAGGCCAUACACCAAGAUCAUCUGAUCCAGCCCUAGGCCACUCCUCAGCAGUUGGUCUAGUAAUGGAAAGAGGCUGAAGGGGUGGCAAACAAGCCCGUGCUUUGCUGUUCCAUUGUGGUUUGGCACUGGACUUGGUAGGGGACCUAUCGGACCACGAAAUAGACCUUGCAUAUGUUUUCCUAUUCCCACCAGCUGGUAACCUAUCCUUCUCAUCUACCUCCAACAUUUCUAAACUUCAAAGUAACCAAUCACAGCCAUAUAGGGUGUGUAUGUUCAAGAAAGGCUCAAUUUGGGAUAUGCUGACCAUAGGGACAAGACACCCAAGUCUAAACUAAAAUUGAACAAAUUCAAUGACAAACCAGAUGACCUAUACCUAUAAGAAACACAAAGAAAUCAUCAAAAACUGAACUUGAGGUGAAAAAGAUCAAUUUUUUAUCUGGAAUUCAAGAAACCCACAUAAGAAUCAUUCAAGAAAAAGUAACAACAACCUCAAAAAUGCCUCUUUUGGUGUCUGCUCAAAGUUGAAACAAAGAAAUGACCAAAAGUGAACUUUGAGAAAAUUAUCUUUUUAUCUAGAAUUGAAAUGAAAUUUCCCUUUGUAGCUGUUCAAAGUUGAAUCAAACAACUUAAAGAUUCAAACUUUACGACAUUUCCUCACCUAAAACCCUUGAACACGACACUAGUCUAAUAUCAACACGUUUAAGAAUAAAUCAAACACAAAGAAGACUUGGUAAACGUCCUGAAACAACGGCAAUUAUGGAGGGGGACAGAAAUUCAACGUAAAAUAAAAUAAAAAAUUCCAUUCAAAUAUUGAAGCUAUUGAAUUACAUAAAAUAUUACUAAUUAAUAGAAAAUAAAAAACAGUAGUCAUAAGAAACUCACUGGAAAGGCAGACAUUUGAUUCUUGAAAAAAUAUCCAGAAAAUUACUGCAA